GUGUAUCACCAAGAGUAACACGUGUGUGCUUUUCUGGUUAUUUUCAGAGCUCGGAUCCCGGGUCCUGCAGGGAUGUAUGAAGUAUCUUCCAACUGUUUUGAGUGGUCUCAGUUUCCCGAAGUGAAACCUUGGAUAUAUAUUUGCCUUGAUGAGAAGCCUGUUGAUUCCUAGUAGGGGCCAAAGAUUCUGAAUGUUUUCCAGGCUCAAGAAGUGUAUCGCCAAAUUUCCCUCCCAUCAGUGAUUAUGACACAACACUUAGAAAAAGUCCUCCCAAAAAUGUCCCUGCCUGUUCGCCCCAGUGAGGAACAGUUUAAAAGUUGGAGAGUCCACACAACCCAGAUCCCAGGUCAUGUGUUGGGAGGCAAAGCCUCUCCCAUUGCCCUUUCCUUUCUCCUCUGCUUGGCUGGUCCUUAAUAUCAUGAUGUGAAAGGCCCCAGCAUUGCAGUUACGGAGGGAGAGCU